UGCUGCUCAGAGGGCCCCUCACCAUGGUUACUGCCCACCCACGACUCUGCUCAGAGGUGGGCAUUGUUUGGCCGCCAAAGUAUGGCAUGCACCCAAGAGACCAAGGGCCUGGCUGGCACGGUCAGUUCAGCAGGUCUUUAGCCCCGGAUGUGGAGCAGAGCCCUUUCUCACGCUCAGCCUCCCAGAUGCUCUGGGAAGGAAUGAGAGAACCUCCUUGCAGCCAUGAGAUAACUACAGAACCUUACAUCACCUGUUUGCAGAAAACAAGGGAGACAAAGGGAGGAUGUUUCCUGCACCACUGUUACUGAGCAUUAUACUGGAGGCUCUGCCCAGUGUGAUAAGAUCCUAGAGGUGCCCAGCCAGAACCUUCACUCCUUCCAUGGCCCUCCCAAGCAGUUGCGUGAGCAGCCAAAUCACAGCAACGUGCUGAAGAGAAAGGAGAGCCAGCAGGUCAGCUUCAAGGGGAGGCUUCUGCAGGUUGGUGACCCCGGGUCUCCUCUGGACACUGAUGAAGGACUGGGGAGGAGCCUGAGGUGGGAUUGGGAGGCUUCCCCCGACCCCGACCCCUAACUCCCCGUAACUACAAGGAGGGUCCUGGACACCAGCACUCUGACCUCGGCCGUGCUAGUCUGUCUGCACUUUGGUUGGCAUCCUGGGCAAUCGCGUUGGCCAACCUGCCUGAGUUCAGGGCUGGGGACAACAUAAAUGAGGGAAGCCAGCCAGGUGGCUCCAACAAUGGGGGAAAGAUUGUGGCCUGGAAGAUGCCUGCCCAUCCCCUGGCACUCACAUCGUUCCCUGGGAGAGGCCAGCAUCAGUCUCAGCGUUUGGCACUGCAUUGGGCCUUCCUGUGGCCCAGUCAGCUUCCCCAGUGAUGUCCAAGGUCCUUGUGGCUUUUUGGGAUAGCACUCCAGCGGCCAGCGGAGAGCCAGGGUAAAGGGCCUCCCCUGGGAAGCAGCUGUCCUCUGCUUUGCAGCCAGACUGCCAGAACUUCCAGAGGACUGUCUUGAACCCACUGGCCAGAAGCCCUGAGGGCCUCAGAAAAAGUCUAUACUUCUGGGCUCUCUCUGUGAAGUAGCCCACAGCUCUGUCUUACCUCACCCCUGUAAGUGCACCUACCCCACGUCUCCAGGCCAGGCCAUCCCAGCAUCACCUAGGAUGGAUCCGCCAAGCAGAGUUGCAGAGCAUCAGCACUGGUACCUGUGUCUGUUCCAAUUCCAGCAGGGAUGCAGGGAUGCAGGACAGGAGGGCCUGCAGCCAUGGACCCAACACCUCACUGGGUCAUCUUGCACCAGGGCUUCUUUUUGGUUAUGUUCUUGAGCUCUGUCCCUAGGGAGGAUUACUGUGUCACCAAGUUAGAAAUGACAUCUGUAAGUUGCUUGGAACACUAGAGCUCACAGGCCACUGCCUUGGACCUCAUCACCAUCGUGCCUAGUGAGGAACUAGAAGCUAAAGGCAGGUGUGUUAAGCCCCCCUGCAUGCUGACCAGAUAACCCUAUGUGACACACAGGCAUGUGAACCCCAUGGGACAGGCUGUGGCUCAGGGACACACUUGAGGCAAGGUCUUUUUGGCUUCCUGGAGGGCCACUUCUCCAGCUGCAAAAGGGUUAAUGCCUGGGCCAAAUCCUGGCUGGAGAGGGUUUCCUGAGAGCCUGAGAUUUUCCUCUCUCCUCCCUUCCUCUGGACUUUCUGCCAGUCUGGCCAGCACUCUCAGAGCACAUGGCUCACACCCACCCAGGACAUGAGGCUGGCUUUCAGCUAUAUGUCCUUUCUGCCAAUUCCCCACUUUUCC